CCCUUAGAUGUUCUGGGCCGCACGCGCGCUACACUGAUGCGUUCAACGAGUAUAGCACCUUGAUCGAUAGGUCUGGGUAAUCUUUUGAAUGCGCAUCGUGUUAGGGAUAGACUGUUGCAAUUUUCAGUCUUGAACGAGGAAUUCCUAGUAAACGCAAGUCAUCAGCUUGCAUUGAUUACGUCCCUGCCCUUUGUACACACCGCCCGUCGCUCCUACCGAUUGAAUGGUCCGGUGAAAUCUUCGGAUUGCUGACCAAGAUCCAGCAAUGGAGCUUGGUUGCGAGAAGUUGAUUAAACCUUAUUAUUUAGAGGAAGGAGAAGUCGUAACA
rnacentral:rRNA from 1 species